rnacentral:rRNA from 1 species
UACGUAGGGGGCAAGCGUUGUCCGGAUUUAUUGGGCGUAAAGAGCGUGUAGGCGGCCAGAUAGGUCAGCUGCGAAAACUCGAGGCUCAACCUCGAGAUGUCGGCUGAAACCAUCUGGCUAGAGUCCGGAAGAGGAGAAUGGAAUUCCCGGUGUAGCGGUGAAAUGCGCAGAUAUCGGGAAGAACACCCGUGGCGAAGGCGGUUCUCUGGGACGGUACUGACGCUGAGACGCAAAAGCGUGGGGAGCGAACAGG